CAAAAUGUAGCUUACAUAAAGCCCCUUGCUUACACCAAGAAAACGUCUGCUGAUACCAGACCAUUUUGC
rnacentral:tRNA from 1 species